CCUACGGGAGGCAGCAGUGAGGAAUAUUGGUCAAUGGACGAGAGUCUGAACCAGCCAAGUAGCGUGAAGGAUGACUGCCCUAUGGGUUGUAAACUUCUUUUAUAUGGGAAUAAAAUGUUCCACGUGUGGGAUUUUGUAUGUACCAUAUGAAUAAGGAUCGGCUAACUCCGUGCCAGCAGCCGCGGUAAUACGGAGGAUCCGAGCGUUAUCCGGAUUUAUUGGGUUUAACGGGAGCGUAGGUGGAUUGUUAAGUCAGUUGUGAAAGUUUGCGGCUCAACCGUAAAAUUGCAGUUGAAACUGGCAGUCUUGAGUACAGUAGAGGUGGGCGGAAUUAGUGGUGUAGCGGUGAAAUGCUUAGAUAUCACGAAGAACUCCGAUUGCGAAGGCAGUUCACUGGACUGCAACUGACACUGAGGCUCGAAAGUGUGGGUAUCAAACAGGAUUAGAUACCCCUGUAGUC
rnacentral:rRNA from 1 species